UGAAUUGAUGUAAAAUGUCAAAAAAAAACCAGAAAAAAUAAGAUUUUGUGUGCCUUAACAAAAUUAACAAAUAUAAGCUAUGCUAAUGAUUACUUAAGUAAUAUUAAAAUAGAUUCCUUUGUAGUUUGUUUUCAAUAUAUCUCUUAAUUACUAAUAGGAACAUCCUCUUGUUGGAGAUGUAGGCGAAUAACUAUAUUCAUUGCUGCAAGCUCAUUUGAAAGAUAUCUAAAGAUAUAUGGAAGCGUAAUAAUUCUGCAGGGAGAUUUACAAACCCUACAAACCGCAAUAGGUGGGAUGCAAUUUGAAAGCUUGCUACUAGACAUUGAUUGUGCCAUAGCCCUCUUUGAAAUGGAAGAGAUUAUAAGUCCGCAUUUUGGACAAACAUAUGCUCUGUGCUCGUCUGAGCAAAUAAGUAACCUAUCAACAAGAAUAGAGCUGACACCAUACGAAAUUAGAGAGUCUCUUUCCAUCUCUCCAAAUCUAAUACCACCAUGUCUUUUUCUUCCCUUAACAGGCUGUCUAGUUAACGCGUCAAUUGGACCGGUUGCUCUAACUUGAGCCUUAUCAGCAACCAUAUGACGAAGUCUUUGAUAAUAAAUAACUCCCAUAAAGAUAUGACAUGGGAGCUCUACUCCCGUCAUUCCAUUAUAAAGUGGUUCGCACCCAUAAUAUUGGAAACCUGCUCUUUCUAAAGCUUUACCAAAGUAGUCCACAGUAGUCUUUUCACCCGCUUUGUCAUCCUCGCAAUUCUCUUCAGAUCUUGAAAGAUCAUCAGAAAUAUUAAUGUUGAAUGGAGUUGCAUCCAAACUUCUUGCUCCAUGAAUACAAGCUGCUUUUCCUCCCAUAGACUCUAAGAGCAUACCGAUAGUCAUACGAGAAGGAAAACCAUGCGGAUUGAAUAGAAUAUCAGGAACCAUACCAGAUUCGCUAAAUGGCAUGUUUUCUUGUGGCCAAAGCAUUGAAAGAAUACCUUUUUGGCCAUGUCUAGAGGCAAAUUUAUCACCAACCAUAGGAUUUCUUACGAUUCUUAGUUUGAUAGACACCUUUUCUCCGUAACCAGAAGAACUUGAAGCCCCAUCUCCUCCCCCUCCACUUAAAGAAUCUUGUUGAAGUUCAAUAGAAAUCCCGCUAGCUAUCCUAUUAAUUUUCUCGACAAAUGCAACCUCAUCGUCAUGAUAAGUUUGAAUAGUUGCAUUGGAAGGGCCCCCUCCAGAACCUAUACGUUCAACCCUACAUAUUGGUGAGCCUUUUGUAAGUCUUUGGCCAAUAUUAGGAAGCCCAUCUGCUGAAAGCUCUUUAACAACUAGCUCACCGUCUGGCCCAAUAUUAUGAAAGAAGUAGCUUUCUGCAUCACUCUUUUUUGUAGCACUAGGAGGAGCUGCUGAAAUGAUUUUGGUUUUAUAGACACAGGCAUGGAACAUUCCUCUAUCAUAAGAUGAUUUGUUAAGAAUCAUAGCAUCCUCCAUAUCAUAACCUGAAUAUGACAUUACAGCAACGAUUGCAUUUGUUCCAGUUGGAUAUUCAGAAAAACCAAAGGAUGAAUAUCCUUUAGUAAUAAUAGUUGGCUCUUGAGGAGUUAAAAGCCUAUACAUCUUAUUGUCGGUUCUAUAUGGGUGGUUAAGGCAAGGAGUACCCAUUGUUUGUUUAAGCAUCUGGCACUGAUACAUAUUUCUUGGACUUUGGUUAUGGUGAGCAUAAGGAAUAAGGCUUGCAGUAACUGAUAGAAUUGUUGAUGGAUGGAGCUCCAUGUGAGUGUAGUUAACCGGUACAGAUGAAAGCACUCUGUCAUUAUCUUUAAUUAGUUUCUUUAAAGCUUUAAGGUCGUUUUUUAGCUG
rnacentral:antisense_RNA from 1 species